rnacentral:rRNA from 1 species
CCUACGGGAGGCAGCAGUAGGGAAUCUUCCGCAAUGGACGAAAGUCUGACGGAGCAACGCCGCGUGAGCGAAGAAGGCCUUCGGGUCGUAAAGCUCUGUUGUUAGGGAAGAACAAGUACCGUUCGAAGAGGGCGGUACCUUGACGGUACCUAACGAGAAAGCCACGGCUAACUACGUGCCAGCAGCCGCGGUAAU